ACUGUUUUAUUUACAUCUGUUUUAUAACAAUGUCAAACAGAUGAACUGAGAGACACUAAUAAAGUCACUUCAGCUCAAAAAUGGUGAAUCUGGGCAUUACCAGAGUGGACGAUGCGGUGGCAGCAAAACAUCCCGGUCUUCAGACUUAUGCUGCCUGUCAGUCUCAUGCUUUUAUGAAAGGAACUGGGACCUUUAUUUUAGGUGCAACUGGCCUCUUUGCUGCUCAGAAAGCUCUUAAAACAAAACUUCCUCUUCAGUGGAACCUGCUGAUUUCCAUCGUCUUUUCGUCCGUUGCCAGUUACACAGUGACACGUUGGGAAACACAGAAAUGUUCAGAUCUCUGGCUGCUUCUUGAAACGGGGAAAGUUCCAGACCGGUCGCCCUCACAGGUGACAAAACCGGAGGAUCCAGCACCGUCUGGAAACACAAAAUAUGGAGACGUGAUGGAGUAAAACAUUGUUAAUUAAGGAUAUGUGUUUGUUUGCAUUAAUGUGUGAAGUUGUUUUUUUAGCGCUGCUGCUGCUGCUGCUGUACUUUCACCAGCACAUUUAUUUUGAACAUGUGAAUUUCACAUGAAUAAAUGAACGAAUGAACCCCUGAUAAACGGAUUCAGAGGUCAGAGGUCAGGAUUUAGCUGAUGCUAAGCAGGUGAUUAUUCACUGCUGCUGAGAUGGAGCAACAUGCCCAGAAAACACACAGACAGGCAGUGUGUGAUGUGUGUGUGUGUAAUGUGUGUGUGUGUGUGUGUGUAAUGUGUGUGAUAUGUGUGUGUAAUGUGUGUGUGAUGUGUGUGUAAUGUGUGUGUAAUGUGUGUUGGAGAUGUUACUUCUUUGCCUCAGUGUUGUUACAAACUCAUCUACCUGUACAGAGACAAGCAGGCAGCUCAAAUGACAAAUCAGAGGUCAGAUCUGUGGAUAGGCGAGCCCGCUCAAUGAAAGUCACAUGUGCGUCUUUAAAAUAUAACCUGAGACCUGGCGUCCUCAUAUGUGGACAACACGUUUUUGGCUUGUCUACGCCACAGUGCAAAUUAUUAGAUGAAGAAUAACAGCAACAAGAACAG